UAUACAAUAGUGAUCCCAUAAGAUUAUAAUACCAUAUUUUUACUGUACCUGUUCUAUGCCUGAAUGUUUAGACACACAGAUACUUAAUUGUGUUACAGUUGCCUACAGUACUCAGUAUAGUAACAUGCUGUGCAGGUUUGUAGCCUAGGAGCAACAGGCCAUAGCAUAUACUCCAGGUGUCUAGUAGGCUAUGUGUAGGUUAAGUUCUAUGAUGUUUGCACAACAAUGAAGUCAACUAACAAUGCAUUUCUCAGAAUAUAUCCCUG
rnacentral:lncRNA from 1 species